AGCGAGGAAGCCGAAAAUCGCAUCAAAGAGUAGGCA
rnacentral:ncRNA from 1 species